UCGGGAAUUUUGGGCAAUGGGCGAAAGCCUGACCCAGCAACGCCGCGUGAGGGAUGAAGUAUUUCGGUAUGUAAACCUCGAAAGAAUGGGAAGAAUAAAUGACGGUACCGUAAGAAUAAGCACCGGCUAACUACGUGCCAGCAGCCGCGGUAAUACGUAGGGUGCGAGCGUUAAUCGGAAUUACUGGGCGUAAAGCGUGCGCAGGCGGUUAUGUAAGACAGAUGUGAAAUCCCCGGGCUCAACCUGGGAACUGCAUUUGUGACUGCAUGGCUAGAGUACGGUAGAGGGGGAUGGAAUUCCGCGUGUAGCAGUGAAAUGCGUAGAUAUGCGGAGGAACACCGAUGGCGAAGGCAAUCCCCUGGACCUGUACUGACGCUCAUGCACGAAAGCGUGGGGAGCAAACA
rnacentral:rRNA from 1 species